AUGAACGCUGGCGGCGUGCCUAAUACAUGCAAGUCGAGCGAACAGACGAGGAGCUUGCUCCUCUGACGUUAGCGGCGGACGGGUGAGUAACACGUGGAUAACCUACCUAUAAGACUGGGAUAACUUCGGGAAACCGGAGCUAAUACCGGAUAAUAUAUUGAACCGCAUGGUUCAAUAGUGAAAGACGGUUUUGCUGUCACUUAUAGAUGGAUCCGCGCCGCAUUAGCUAGUUGGUAAGGUAACGGCUUACCAAGGCAACGAUGCGUAGCCGACCUGAGAGGGUGAUCGGCCACACUGGAACUGAGACACGGUCCAGACUCCUACGGGAGGCAGCAGUAGGGAAUCUUCCGCAAUGGGCGAAAGCUUGACGGAGCAACGCCGCGUGAGUGAUGAAGGUCUUCGGAUCGUAAAACUCUGUUAUUAGGGAAGAACAAAUGUGUAAGUAACUAUGCACGUCUUGACUGUACCUAAUCAGAAAGCCACGGCUAACUACGUG
rnacentral:rRNA from 1 species